rnacentral:rRNA from 1 species
GAUUAAAAAAAAAAAAAACAUGCCCGCUCUCGUCCGAUCUCGGAGCCAAGCAGGGUUGGGCCUGGUUAGUACUUGGACGGGAGACCGCCUGGGAAUACCAGGUGCUGUAAGCU